rnacentral:rRNA from 1 species
UACGAAGGGGGCUAGCGUUGCUCGGAAUCACUGGGCGUAAAGGGCGCGUAGGCGGCCAUUCAAGUCGGAGGUGAAAGCCCAGGGCUCAACCCUGGAAUUGCCUUCGAUACUGUCUGGCUAGAGACCGGAAGAGGUAAGUGGAACUGCGAGUGUAGAGGUGAAAUUCGUAGAUAUUCGCAAGAACACCUAUGGCGAAGGCAGCACUCUGGGACGGUACUGACGCUGAGACGCGAAAGCGUGGGGAGCGAACAGG